rnacentral:rRNA from 1 species
GGAGCCCUGCGGCUUAACUGUUGACUCAACACGGGAAAACUCACCAGGCCCGGACAUGGGAAGGAUUGACAGAUUGAGAGCUCUUNUCUUGAUUCUAUGGGUGGCUGGUGCAUGGCCGUUCUUAGCUUGGUGGAGUGAUUUGUCUGGUUAAUUCCGAUAACGAACGAGACCUUAACCUGCUAAAUAGAGAUGCGAACCUGCGUUCGUAGGCUCUUCUUAGAGGGACUGACUACGUUUAGUGGUCGGAAGUUUGAGGCAAUAACAGGUCUGUGAUGCCCUUAGAUGUUCUGGGCUGCACGCGCGCUACACUGACAGAGGCAGCGAGUAUACAACCUUGACCGGAAGGUCUGGGUAAUCUUUUGAAACUCUGUCGUGCUGGGGAUAGAGCAUUGCAAUUAUUGCUCUUCAACGAGGAAUUCCUAGUAAGCGCAUGUCAUCAGCAUGCGUUGAUUACGUCCCUGCCCUUUGUACACACCGCCCGUCGCUACUACCGAUUGAAUGGCUUAGUGAGACCUUCUGAUUGAGGCUUGGUGGCCGCAAGGCUGCUGGGCUUUGAAAAGUUGUUCAAACUGGUCAUUUAGAGGA